rnacentral:misc_RNA from 1 species
UUUCCGUUGGUGAACCAGCGGAGGGAUCAUUACAGGAUCGAAAGACUCCUAUAACCCCUGUGAACUUACUACAAAUACGUUGCUUCGGCGGGUGCCCCGGGUCUCCCGGGGCGUUCAGCCCGCCGGCAGCCUUCAAAUUCUGUUUCUUUGCGUUGGCAUCUCGAGUAUACAAAAAUAAGUUAAAACUUUCAACAACGGAUCUCUUGGUUCUG